AACGAACGCUGGCGGCAGGCUUAACACAUGCAAGUCGAGCGCCCCGCAGGGGCGCGGCGGACGGGUGAGUAACGCGUGGGAACGUGCCCUCCUCUGCGGAAUAGCCCUGGGAAACCGGGGGUAAUAUCGCAUAUGCCCCUCACGGGGGAAAGGUUUACCGGAGAAGGAUCGGCCCGCGUCGGAUUAGGUAGUUGGUGGGGUAAUGGCCUACCAAGCCGACGAUCCGUAGCUGGUUUGAGAGGAUGACCAGCCACACUGGGACUGAGACACGGCCCAGACUCCUACGGGAGGCAGCAGUGGGGAAUCUUGGACAAUGGGGGUAACCCUGAUCCAGCCAUGCCGCGUGAGUGAUGAAGGCCCUAGGGUUGUAAAGCUCUUUCAGCUGGGAAGAUAAUGACGGUACCAGCAGAAGAAGCCCCGGCUAACUCUGUGCCAGCAGCCGCAGUAA
rnacentral:rRNA from 1 species